UAGAGUUUGAUCCUGGCUCAGGACGAACGCUGGAGGCGUGCUUAACACAUGCAAGUCGAACGAUGAAGUGGAGCUUGCUCCACGGAUUAGUGGCGAACGGGUGCGUAACACGUGAGCAACCUGCCGUGAAGUGGGGGAUAGCUCGCCGAAAGGCGAAUUAAUACCGCAUGUGGCCAAGGAAGACAUCUUCCUGACGCCAAAGCCGGGGCAACCUGGCGCUUCUCGAGGGGCUCGCGGCCUAUCAGCUUGUUGGUGAGGUAACGGCUCACCAAGGCUAUGACGGGUAGCUGGUCUGAGAGGACGACCAGCCACACUGGAACUGAGACACGGUCCAGACACCUACGGGUGGCAGCAGUCGAGAAUUUUUCACAAUGGGGGAAACCCUGAUGGAGCGACGCCGCGUGGAGGAUGAAGGUUUUCGGAUUGUAAACUCCUGUCAUUAGAGAACAAGGCACACGGUUUAACUGGCCGUGUGUUGAUAGUAUCUGAAGAGGAAGAGACGGCUAACUCUGUGCCAGCAGCCGCGGUAAUACAGAGGUCUCAAGCGUUGUUCGGAUUCAUUGGGCGUAAAGGGUGCGUAGGUGGCGAGGUAAGUCGGAUGUGAAAUCUCCAAGCUCAACUUGGAAACUGCAUUCGAUACUGCUUUGCUCGAGGACUGUAGAGGGCAUUGGAAUUCACGGUGUAGCAGUGAAAUGCGUAGAUAUCGUGAGGAAGACCAGUGGCGAAGGCGAAUGCCUGGGCAGUUCCUGACACUGAGGCACGAAGGCCAGGGGAGCAAACGGGAUUAGAUACCCCGGUAGUCCUGGCAGUAAACGGUGCACGUUUGGUGUGGGAGGAUUCGACCCCUUCCGUGCCGGAGCAAACGCGUUAAACGUGCCGCCUGGGGAGUACGGUCGCAAGAUUAAAACUCAAAGAAAUUGACGGGGACCCGCACAAGCGGUGGAGUAUGUGGCUUAAUUCGAUGCAACGCGAAGAACCUUACCUGGCCUUGACAUGCAUCUCUAAACCGGUGAAAGCCGGCGAGUGUAGCAAUAGGCGAACUGCACAGGUGCUGCAUGGCUGUCGUCAGCUCGUGUCGUGAGAUGUCGGGUUAAGUCCCUUAACGAGCGAAACCCCUGUCUCUAGUUGCCAGCGCGUUAUGGCGGGGACUCUAGAGAAACUGCCCGUGUAAGCGGUGAGGAAGGUGGGGAUGACGUCAAGUCAUCACGGCCCUUACGUCCAGGGCGACACACGUGCUACAAUGGUAGGGACAGUGAGUUGCAAGCCGGUAACGGCAAGCUAAUCUAUAAACCCUAUCUCAGUUCGGAUCGAGGUCUGCAACCCGACCUCGUGAAGCUGGAAUCGCUAGUAAUCGGAUAUCAGCCAUGAUCCGGUGAAUACGUUCCCGGGCCUUGUACACACCGCCCGUCAAGCCAUGGAAAUGGGGAGCGCCUAAAGUCGGCCACCGAAAGGAGCUGCCUAAGGCGAAACUCGUAACUGGGGCUAAGUCGUAACAAGGUAACCGUA
rnacentral:rRNA from 1 species